AGCGAACGUUCGCGGCGGGCCUAACACAUGCAAGUCGAACGCGAAAGGGAUUCGUCCCCGGUAGCGUGGCGUCCGGGUGAGUAACACGUAGGAAACCUUCCCUCGAGCGGGGGAUAACGUCCCGAAAGGGACGCUAAUACCGCAUAUGCCCACGUCUUCUUCGGGAGAUGAGGGGAAAGCUGGCCUCUGUAUACAAGCUAGCACUCGAGAAUGGUCCUGCGGCGCAUCAGCUAGUUGGUGGGGUAACGGCCUACCAAGGCGAAGACGCGUAGCUGGUCUGAGAGGAUGAUCAGCCACACUGGCACUGAAACACGGGCCAGACUCCUACGGGAGGCAGCAGUGGGGAAUAUUGGACAAUGGGCGCAAGCCUGAUCCAGCCACGCCGCGUGAGUGAUGAAGGCCUCGGGUUGUAAAGGCUCUGUGGGGUAGGGGACGGAAAAACGGGGA
rnacentral:rRNA from 1 species